rnacentral:rRNA from 1 species
AGCGAACGCUGGCGGCAGGCCUAACACAUGCCAGUCGAACGAACUCUUCGGAGUUAGUGGCGGACGGGUGGGUAACACGUGGGAACGUGCCUUUAGGUUCGGAAUAACUCAGGGAAACUUGUGCUAAUACCGAAUGUGCCCUUCGGGGGAAAGAUUUAUCGCCUUUAGAGCGGCCCGCGUCUGAUUAGCUAGUUGGUGAGGUAAAGGCUCACCAAGGCGACGAUCAGUAGCUGGUCUGAGAGGAUGAUCAGCCACAUUGGGACUGAGACACGGCCCAAACUCCUACGGGAGGCAGCAGUGGGGAAUCUUGCGCAAUGGGCGAAAGCCUGACGCAGCCAUGCCGCGUGAAUGAUGAAGGUCUUAGGAUUGUAAAAUUCUUUCACCGGGGACGAUAAUGACGGUACCCGGAGAAGAAGCCCCGGCUAACUUCGUG